GCGAACGCUGGCGGCAGGCCUAACACAUGCAAGUCGAACGAACCUUUCGGGGUUAGUGGCGGACGGGUGAGUAACACGUGGGAACGUGCCUUUAGGUUCGGAAUAACUCAGGGAAACUUGUGCUAAUACCGAAUGUGCCCUUCGGGGGAAAGAUUUAUCGCCUUUAGAGCGGCCCGCGUCUGAUUAGCUAGUUGGUUGAGGUAAUGGCUCACCAAGGCGACGAUCAGUAGCUGGUCUGAGAGGAUGAUCAGCCACAUUGGGACUGAGACACGGCCCAAACUCCUACGAGAGGCAGCAGUGGGGAAUCUUGCGCAAUGGGCGAAAGCCUGACGCAGCCAUGCCGCGUGAAUGAUGAAGGUCUUAGGAUUGUAAAAUUCUUUCACCGGGGACGAUAAUGACGGUACCCGGAGAAGAAGCCCCGGCUAACUUCGUG
rnacentral:rRNA from 1 species